UUUUGGUGAAAUAGCUGGCCCACCCUAAGCUACCACACAAGGUUAGUCCGUUAUCACUCACCUUAGGCCAAGGAAAAGCCCCUAGGUUAGGACCUCCUGUUAUUCUCACGACAUGCCUCACCCUUCUCUACUUGAGAAUAGGUGAUCAUUAGAAUGUCAAGAUGAACUCCAAGACUGAGCUUUCCAUAUUCAUACUUACAAACUAGAACAAGCAUCACUGAGAAAUUCCUCCUUGAAAUUCUCUUUCACACCAUUUGAAACAAUAAACCUUACUUUGAUACUCAUAUAAUACUCAAACAUAGUCAUACAUCAUCCACAAACAAAUCAAAUUCAUAAAUCCAACCAAUAAG
rnacentral:lncRNA from 1 species